rnacentral:rRNA from 1 species
UACGUAGGGUGCGAGCGUUGUCCGGAUUUAUUGGGCGUAAAGAGCUCGUAGGCGGUUUGUCGCGUCGGCCGUGAAAUCUCCACGCUUAACGUGGAGCGUGCGGUCGAGUACGGGCAGACUUGAGUUCGGUAGGGGAGACUGGAAUCCUGGUGUAGCGGUGAAAUGCGUAGAUAUCAGGAGGAACACCGGUGGGCGAAGGCGGGGUCUCUGGGCCGAUACUGACGUGGAGGAGCGAAAGCGUGGGGAGCGAACAGG